rnacentral:rRNA from 1 species
CUUGGUCAUUUAGAGGAAGUAAAAGUCGUAACAAGGUCUCCGUUGGUGAACCAGCGGAGGGAUCAUUACAGAGUUGCAAAACUCCCAACCCUUUGUGAACGAACCUACCAGUUGCCUCGGCGGCGAGCCUUUCAGGCGGACCGCCGAAGGAAUACAAACUCUUUGCAUUAUAGUAUCUCUGAUUACUUAUUCAAUAAGUUAAAACUUUCAACAACGGAUCUCUUGGUUCUGGCAUCGAUGAAGAACGCAGCGAAAUGCGAUAAGUAAUGUGAAUUGCGGAAUUCAGUGAAUCAUCGAAUCUUUGAACGCACAUUGCGCCCGUUAGUAUUCUGGCGGGCAUGCCUGUUCGAGCGUCAUUUCAACCAUCAAGCCCUAGGCUUGUGUUGGAGCCCUGCGGCUGCCGCAGCCUCCUAAAAACAGUGGCGGGCUCGCUAUUACACCGAGUGCAGUAGUUUACUCUUCGCUCAGGGCGUGUGGCGGGUGCUGGCCGUGAAACCCCCUACUUCUUAAGGUUGACCUCGGAUCAGGUAGGAAUACCCGCUGAACUUAAGCAUAUCAAUAAGCGGAGGA